UACAGAGGUCUCAAGCGUUGUUCGGAUUCAUUGGGCGUAAAGGGUGCGUAGGUGGCGCCGUAAGUCGGGUGUGAAAUUUCGGAGCUUAACUCUGAAACUGCAUUCGAUACUGCGGUGCUUGAGGACUGGAGAGGAGACUGGAAUUUACGGUGUAGCGGUGAAAUGCGUAGAUAUCGUAAGGAAGACCAGUGGCGAAGGCGGGUCUCUGGACAGUUCCUGACGCUGAGGCACGAAGGUCAGGGGAGCAAACAGG
rnacentral:rRNA from 1 species